CUCGAGGCAGAUGAGGGUCAGCCUUGAAGGCCCUUCCAUAGGGAUGGAAACUGCCAAUGCUGGCAUUUCUCAUCCCUCAGCUCCUGGCAUGGGAUAGAAUCCAAAGCCUUUUGGGAAUGGGAACAGGGCAAUUUCUCAUCCUGGGCGCUUGGGGUGGCUCCGUCUCUCCGAAGUGGCUGCAGUGUCUGUGUCCUUGGGCAAGGGGAAGGCAGGAGAUGGAGACAUGGGUGCUGCUCUGCCCUGAGGAACCAGUGCAUCUCCCAGGCUUGUGGUUUCCAGCCUGCAGCCCCCCUUGAAGAUGCUUUGGCAGCCCCUGAAUACAGUGGUGGGAGCUCUGUGGAGCAGAAGGCAGCUGACCACGUGCUCUUUCUCAUGCUUUCCUCGAUAUUUGGGAAAAGGUCUCCGCCAGUCUCGAGUGAAGUUUGGAAGCUGCAUGAAGAGGGACAGAAGCAGCUCGUCAAGAAAGCAUUUGCAGACAUCCCCAUCCUCAGAGCCCCAUCCUCUGCCUCCUGCUGUGACUGCACAUGCUGGGGUGGUACAAAAGGACAUUUUGGGUGCCCUCAUCCUGUGAAGACCCAUAGAGGCAUUGCUUGGCCUUGCCUGCUGCACAAACUGCUUCACUCCUUGCAUCUGCCAUCAUCAGUCCUUGCUGGGCAGGUUUUGGGCUGCCCUGCACCCCCAGCUGACAGGAGAGAAGUGGCUCCCAGCCUGAUACUCUUCCCCAGGGCCAUAUCCAGGCACUGUGGCUCCUCAGCAGGGACCUCUUCACCAGGGCAUCUUCUCUGGGGACCCGGGCACCCUCAUCUCCCUCACCUUCCAGCACCAGCUGAGCAGGAUGCUGCGGUGCCAGGCAGGAUUUCUGCUCACCUGGCACAAGCCCAGGGAGCUGUCAUCUCACCACUGCCGUGCUGCUAAGCAUCAGGCAUCCAGCAUCACUGCCCCAAAACCCAGCUUCAGAGAAUCCACCUGGCAAGCUGCAAGUGUGAGCAAAUGCAUCAUGGUGCACCAGUGUCUUUAAAAGCUUCUGCAGGACUGUGAGCACAUUAAAUACCAGUUUUGGUACAGCACUGUGCAGGGAACAGACCCUGGGGAACACAGCCUUCAGGAGCUGGGAGUGCCUGCAUCCAUUUGACUUCCCCACUCCUUUUAUCAUGCCACUUUUAAACAUGCCACUUGCUAGUGUAUUGUAAGUGUCCUUUUGUGCCUUUGCACUGUGAAAUGAAGUCCUGGGACAAUGCUCUCCCCACUGUUAUAUGAUAAACUAUUUUAAUUCAUUUUCCUUUGAAUUUUUCACCAAUUUGCUGAUCUGAUUUGGUGAAGGGACACUUCUCCAAACCACCAGGUUUUCUGCUCUCAUUUUCAACUCUGUGUUUACCUGCCUCAAUCAUUGCUAAGUAUGAGGUUUGUGUUUGCUGGUAGUCAGGGCAUUUCCCAGGGCAUGACCUCAGCACUGAGGACCAUGAUGGCCUCAGGGGUUCCUAUGGGCAAUGAGCAGGGAAAACAGGCACUGGUCAGACAGAACAGCCUGGAGGGAGGUGUCAGCACCACAGCCAUUGAUGGGGUGUGAGGAGAGUUGGGAUUCACUGGCCUGGCAGUGACCUGGGCCCUUUGCCAGCCUGGCAGCAGCACUAGGUCCUUGAAAAGUGAAGUUCCCAGGAUCUCAGUGACCAGCAGUGCUGGGUGUGUGGCCAGGGUGGGCAGAGUGUUAAGCAGCUGAUUGGGGUGGUGAUGGAUGAGCAAGGUGUUUGGGGCUCAUUAAUUUCCUGGCAGGGAUCAGCUUGUCGCAUCCUGUAAUGCAAUCAAAGUGGGAACACAUCUCACUCAGGGAGCACCAGGAGCACUCAGUGCAGAGGCAGAUCACUGCCUUGCAGCAUCCUCCAGCUGAUAAAAAAUGGCUGUGAGAGUUUAGCCCUGCUAAAUGCUGGGUAUGGCUCAGCCUUGGCUCUGUAACCCUCAGCAGGAGUAAUGCUACUAUUUGGCUGAUUUCUCCUGACUGCCCAGCAAAGGUGGCUGUGCAGGGGAGGUUAGAGCUUAGUGCUGCCUUGAAACCCCGCCAUCCCUGGGUUACAGGUGUCCUGGGAAGCCUCUGCCCUCUGGGAGUCUGGAUUGGCUGAACCACAGACCACAGCACUGGUGGUGGUCGUUCUUCCUUCCCCUCCUGCCACUGCAUCCAGCUUUGGGGCUUGCUGGGAUCUCAAGAGCAGGGUCUCAGUUGUUGGCCAGGGGCAAUUUCCCUGCUCCAGAGGUAUUCUGGUGCAGCCAGGCUUGCAGCAACGUGUGACAGGUUACAGCCAGCACUCCUGCAGCUGGAGGAUGCUGUGGGACAGGGCUGCAGUGGGAGGUCAGGGCAGAUGAGCUUGUACUCCCUCCCAGCCUGAAACUCCCCAAAUCCCCAGCCUUCUCUCCAAGAAGCUCCACUUCCUGUCUUCCAAAGCACUGGGAGAGAGAGGAAACCGAAAGAUUUAAAAAAAGAAAAAGGUCCCGGUGGUGACAAACAUGAUCAGCAUGGCUGUGAGCCAAGGCACCGCUCACCCACCCAGGGGACAGCUCAAGGGACACACACAGCCCCUCCAGCUGGGCCUAGGGCAGGGGGGAGGUUGUUUUUCCGGUUGCAGCGUUGUUCUGCAGGACCUGAAUAAACACCCAGCCUGGUGCA
ensembl:lncRNA